UUGGAGGGCAAGUCUGGUGCCAGCAGCCGCGGUAAUUCCAGCUCCAAUAGCGUAUAUUAAAGUUGUUGCAGUUAAAAAGCUCGUGGUUGAAUUUCGGGAUCAAUGUUUCGGUCAUGCCGUUGGUAUGUACUGAUAUUAUUGAUUUCUCACCUUCUAAAGAACCGUAAUGCCAUUAAUUUGGUGUCACGUGGAAUUAGGACUGUUACCUUGAAAAAAUUAGAGUGUUUAAAGCAGGCUCACGCUUGAAUACAUUAGCAUGGAAUAAUGAAAUAGGACAUCCGAUUCUAUUUUGUUGGUUUCUAGGAUCGAUGUAAUGAUUAAUAGGGAUAGUUGGGGGCAUUAGUAUUCAAUUGUCAGAGGUGAAAUUCUUGGAUUUAUUGAAGACUAACUACUGCGAAAGCAUUUGCCAAGGAUGUUUUCAUUAAUCAAGAACGAAAGUUAGGUGAUCGAAGACGAUCAGAUACCGUCGUAGUCUUAACCAUAAACUAUGCCGACUAGGGAUCGGAUGAUGUUAAUUUUUUAAUGACUCAUUCGGCGCCUUACGGGAAACCAAAGUGUUUGGGUUC
rnacentral:rRNA from 1 species